CGGUGCGCCGCCACGGAGCUGAGGGUCAGGAACAGAUACCGGCUGGGCCGCAAGAUCGGUAGCGGCUCCUUCGGAGACAUCUAUCUUGGCACGGAUAUUGCUGCAGGAGAAGAAGUUGCCAUCAAGCUUGAAUGUGUCAAGACCAAACACCCUCAGCUCCACACUGAGAGCAAAAUCUACAAAAUGAUGCAGGGAGGAGUGGGCAUCCCCACCAUCAGAUGGUGUGGAGCCGAAGGGGCCUACAACGUCAUGGUAAUGGAGCUCCUGGGCCCAAGCCUGGAAGAUCUCUUCAACUUCUGCUUGAGCAAGUUCAGUCUCAAAACUGUUCUGCUGUUUGCUGACCAGAUGAUUAGUCGUAUUGAAUACAUUCAUUCAAAGAACUUCAUCCACCGAGAUGUGAAGCCAGAUAACUUCCUCAUGGGGCUGGGGAAGAAGGGCAUCCUGGUUUAUAUCAUCGACUUUGGGCUGGCCAAGAAGUACCGGGAUGCAAGAACCCACCAGCACAUCCCCUAUCGAGAGAAUAAGAACCUUACAGGCACAGCACGGUAUGCCUCCAUCAACACGCACCUUGGAAUCGAACAAUCUCGAAGGGAUGACUUGGAGUCACUAGGAUACAUGCUGAUGUACUUCAACCUGGGCUCUCUCCCCUGGCAGGGGCUGAAGGCUGCCACCAAGAGGCAAAAGUAUGAGAGGAUCAGUGAGAAAAAAAAUGUCCACUCCCAUUGAAGUUGUGUGCAAAGGCUAUCCCUCUGAAUUUGCCACGUACCUGAAUUUCUGCCGUUCCUUGCGCUUUGAUGACAAGCCUGACUACUCCUAUCUGCGUCAGCUCUUUAGGAAUCUGUUCCAUUGCCGGGGCUUCUCCUGCAACUAUGUGUUCGACUGGAACAUGCUUAAGUUUGGUGCCAGCCGGGCAGCCGAUGAUGCCAAACGGGAAUGCCGGGACUGAGAGGAACGAUUAAGACACUCUCGGAAUCCAGCUACCCGCAGCCUUCCUUCCACAGCUUCUGGCCGCCUGCGGGGGACCCAAGAAUUACCCCCCCCACGCCCCUGACCCCUACCUCACAUACGGCUAACACCUCCCCUCGGCCUGUCUUUGGCAUGGAACGAGAGCGGAAAGUGAGCAUGCGGCUGCACCACGGGGCACCAGUCACUGUCUCCUCAUCUGAUCUCACGGGCCGACAAGAUACCUCUUGCAUGUCCACCUCACAGAUUCCCGGUCGGGUGGCUUCCAGUGGUCUUCAGUCUGUCAUGCACCGAUGAGAACUCUCCUUUUUGCUGUGAAGGGCAGACAAUGCAUGGCUGAUCUACUCUGUUACCAAUGGCUUUACUAGUGACACGCCCCCUGGUCUAGACUCAAAAUGUUCACACCGGGAGCUCUCCAGGCCACUCACCCAGCCAUGCUCGUGGGGAUUCCAAAUACAGACUAAACGGACAGGCUCUGAGAACUGCCACCCACCGCUAGGGGCUGGCACUGCGGCCCCCACAGAAGCUCAGUUACCACAGGGCUGGGAAGAUGAGCAGAGUGCGGGAAACAUUGCAGAGACCCCAACUCCCUGCCACGAGCCUCUCCACCCCUCCAGUGGUGGCCGACCAGCGCUCCCUGCAAUCCCAUUGCGACUACCAGUCUUCUACUUGGUUAAGACAGUUUUGUAUCAUUUUGCUAAAAAUUACUGCCUUAAAUCUGUGUAGAUCUGUCUUUUUAUUAUUUUUCUCUUGUCUGUUUUUGCGGUCUUAAAAAGGAUGUUGACUUUAAAGACUCCUGAGACAGACACUGGCUUGCCGUGUCUGUGGAGUCAGAGGGGCACACGACAUCAAGGUUGUGUAUGCAUUCUGUUUCUGUUUUCUGUGUUGUGUUGUCCACUCUGGAGAGGGAACGUCUCAUCAGACGCUGUGUGUGCAUGUGUGUCUGCGUGUCACAGGCCUCUCAGCCCAGUUCUGGCCUUGCUCACCCUUCCCUUCUAUAAGCUGAAAUACCUGCUGUUGUCAGCGCACUAGAAAGUGUGGCUACUGCAGAGCAAGUGUGGCCAGUG